rnacentral:rRNA from 1 species
GAACGGGUGAGUAACACGUGGGCAAUCUGCCCUGCACUCUGGGACAAGCCCUGGAAACGGGGUCUAAUACCGGAUAUGACCUGCCGAGGCAUCUUGGUGGGUGUAAAGCUCCGGCGGUGCAGGAUGAGCCCGCGGCCUAUCAGCUUGUUGGUGGGGUGAUGGCCUACCAAGGCGACGACGGGUAGCCGGCCUGAGAGGGCGACCGGCCACACUGGGACUGAGACACGGCCCAGACUCCUACGGGAGGCAGCAGUGGGGAAUAUUGCACAAUGGGCGAAAGCCUGAUGCAGCGACGCCGCGUGAGGGAUGACGGCCUUCGGGUUGUAAACCUCUUUCAGCAGGGAAGAAGCGCAAGUGACGGUACCUGCAGAAGAAGCACCGGCUAACUACGUGCCAGCAGCCGCGGUAAUACGUAGGGUGCGAGCGUUGUCCGGAAUUAUUGGGCGUAAAGAGCUCGUAGGCGGCUUGUCGCGUCGGAUGUGAAAGCCCGGGGCUUAACCCCGGGUCUGCAUUCGAUACGGGCAGGCUAGAGUUCGGUAGGGGAGAUCGGAAUUCCUGGUGUAGCGGUGAAAUGCGCAGAUAUCAGGAGGAACACCGGUGGCGAAGGCGGAUCUCUGGGCCGAUACUGACGCUGAG